AUUGCAUCUCUCUCAAGCACUAGCUCGCAGCAAUUGCUAAAUUUCUACGUUCCAGUGCGAUUUUCUUUGCCCUUUUCUUCUGCUUCCUCAUUAUAGCAUCAAAUGAGAUGCAAACGGGGGAAGCACAAGAUUGUCCAAGGUGGCUCUCAGAGAUAUACGAACAACCUUGCGAUAUUGAAACUUGUUAUGCCUAUUGCCGUGGUGUCGAAGGUGCUUAUUCGGGAGGUUGUGGAACUUUCAACAGCGAAUUAGAAUAUGUUUGCGUAUGUGGUAAUGAAUGCUGACUGAAUUGCAGUUUUUGCUAUCUUUAACUCUUAUCAUAUAAAAAUAAAAGCAACUAUUGCUUCAAUAUUAAUAAAAUUUUCGUGCUCGUUUUUCAUUUUUUUUUUCUCAAAAUUUUUUGGCUGCGUCCAGUGAAAAUUUUUCCCAACACCUUGGUGUCUCCAUUGACUUCAAGUCAAAAUCUUUGAAUGCCAUGUGUAUAUUUGAUAAAUAUGACACAAUCUUUCAUAGUUUA